GUUUGGAUUAAUGGAGUGGAUUAAAAAACGUACACUCACUUAAGAGCAUUUCAUGCUCCUAAACUUGGAAACUGUCUGACCUGAGCCCUGGGACCAUUCCUCAGGACUACCUGACCUAAUGACUCCUUGCUGUCCCCAGUCCACCUGGACGUGCUGCUGCUCCAGUUUCAUCUGUUCUGCCUGUGGCUAUGGAACCCUGACCUGUUAACUGGACGUACUACCUUGUCCCGGACCUGCUGUUUUCGACUCUCUCUCUCUACCGCACCUGCUGUCUCUAACUCAAUGCUCGGCUAUGAAAAUCCAACUGACAUUUACUCCUGAGGUG
rnacentral:lncRNA from 1 species